CUUCCAGUGAUACUUUUUCUUUGUGAGCAGCAACUGAGGUGCCAGAUAAUAUAGGUCACCUGAAGGACAAGCCGUCAGAAUUGGAGAUCAGAGCCGCUCAGGCCGGCCGCCAGCUCGUUAGGGAACCGCACACUCAGCUCCCACCCAGCUCGGGACGCCCAGCGGGAGCUUCCCUUGCAAACACCAGCAGACACCAUUUUGCAGAACUCUUAAGAAACGCGGGUUAAAUGUGUUAGGUACAACGCAUGCAGCCAAGACGGGCAUGGAGAGCGAGAGGGCUGGCCCGGGGGGGAAGCAAACCUCCUGAUGAUGGGAUUGCUCUUGCUGGGGGCUUUGUAAACA
rnacentral:lncRNA from 1 species